GACGAACGCUGGCGGCGUGCUUAACACAUGCAAGUCGAACGGAAAGGCCCUGCUUUUGUGGGGUGCUCGAGUGGCGAACGGGUGAGUAACACGUGAGUAACCUGCCCUUGACUUUGGGAUAACUUCAGGAAACUGGGGCUAAUACCGGAUAGGAGCUCCUGCUGCAUGGUGUGGGUUGGAAAGUUUCGGCGGUUGGGGAUGGACUCGCGGCUUAUCAGCUUGUUGGUGGGGUAGUGGCUUACCAAGGCUUUGACGGGUAGCCGGCCUGAGAGGGUGACCGGCCACAUUGGGACUGAGAUACGGCGCAGACUGCUACGGGAGGCAGCAGUGGGGAAUAUUGCACAAUAGGCGGAAGCCUGAUGCAGCAACGCCGCGUGCGGGAUGACGGCCUUCGGGUUGUAAACAGCUGUCGCCUGUGACGAAGCGAGAGUGACGGUAAUGAGUAAAGAAGCACCGGCUAACUACGUG
rnacentral:rRNA from 1 species